UCAGUACGGUCGGAAAUCGUACGUAGAGUGUAAAGGCAAAAGAGAGCUUGAUUGCAAGACAUACAGGUCGAGCAAGGAUGAAAAUCGGACUUAGUGAUCCGGUGGUGCUGCGUGGAAGGGCCAUCGCCCAACGGAUAAAAGCUACCCUGGGGAUAACAGGCUUAUCUCCCCCAAGAGUCCACAUCGACGGGGAGGUUUGGCACCUCGAUGUCGGCUCAUCACAUCCUGGGGCUG
rnacentral:rRNA from 1 species